rnacentral:rRNA from 1 species
AAGUUUGAUCGUGGCUCAGAUUGAACGCUGGCGGCAUGCCUUACACAUGCAAGUCGAACGGCAGCACGGGAGCUUGCUCCUGGUGGCGAGUGGCGAACGGGUGAGUAAUGCAUCGGAACGUAUCCUGGAGUGGGGGAUAACGUAGCGAAAGUUACGCUAAUACCGCAUAUUCUGUGAGCAGGAAAGCGGGGGACCUUCGGGCCUCGCGCUCUUGGAGCGGCCGAUGUCGGAUUAGCUAGUUGGUGAGGUAAAGGCUCACCAAGGCGACGAUCCGUAGCAGGUCUGAGAGGAUGAUCUGCCACACUGGAACUGAGACACGGUCCAGACUCCUACGGGAGGCAGCAGUGGGGAAUUUUGGACAAUGGGGCAACCCUGAUCCAGCCAUGCCGCGUGAGUG